AGUCCUACACAACCAGCUCCUGUCGAAUUCCCCCAGGGCGGGAACGCAGCAAGGGUAGAUGGUCGUAGCGGUGUGAUGUAGG
rnacentral:SRP_RNA from 1 species